rnacentral:lncRNA from 1 species
CUUUCUUUCUUUCUUUCUUUCUUUUUUAAUGUAUAUUUACUUGAGAGAGCACGCAAGCAGGAGAAGGACAGAGAGAGAGGGAGAGAGACAAUCCCAAGCAGGCUCCGUGCUGUCAGCCCAGCACCCCAGGGAACACUUACUUCUUAAUCCUCAUGUUUUCAUAUGAAGUAUUUCCACAAUUAGAGUUGCUCUCUUAUCAUCCCUCUAUUCCUUUCUCAGAAUGGCAAGUUGGAAAAAAGGAACUAAGGAAUGGUUGGCACUUGCUGUUUCUCUCUUAAGGAGUUCUCUACUUGCCAAGUGUACCUGCUUUGGACUUCUCAUGCCUAGGCUCCCCUGGCCAUGACCCAGAGCAGGGAGCCCACCACUGUAGAUGCUCCCUCCCCAACUCCAGCUUCCCCUCACAUUGACCAGCAUUUGCAAGGUGGGAAGAAUUUCAUUGGAACUUAUUCAUCAUCGACUAGCACCACCCCAAGAGCAUCUUCCAUGUUUAGGUCUAAAGAAAAUGAAAAAAUGACAGAAGGGAGGAGAAGGAAAUUACUCUGUUUUUGAGCUGUGCUGCUGGCCAGGCCCUACAUGAAUGAGGCACCCGGCCCACAAUGUGUAAGUAAUGUAGUCGGGGACAGGCGUCGGUCCUGCUCAGCGCUGGGCAGCGAGGAGGAGGCUGGGAAUGUCCCCAUGGCUCACGUUCAUGAGAGCUGCAAAUUUUGACUUUUGAUCUUCAAAGUAACUUGAAUACGUAGUCACUGUGUUUGUGUUUCCCAACUACAAAUCGUUAAAUGUAAACAUUGAAGUAUACCAUGGUUUUUAAUCCAUGUUCUGACCAUGCUUGCUUUUUAAUAUACUCAGAGUAUCCAAAGAAAAACAAAGACACAAAGAAAAAAAAACAACAAAAAAGGAACUGGCCUGGGCCUCACUCAACCUCUGAGGCCCUGCUCGAAGCAAAUGGAGCUGACUUUCUCUGUAAAUAGAGUUCACUAACAUUUUCUUCUUUUUAUAUCUGCCACCUCCUCCUGCUGCUUGUCAUUUUGUCGUCGUUUUCCUAGGGCUGCUGGACUCUUCCAAAAUAAGUAACAGGAAAACAUAUGAAGUGACCAGUGAGGACGUGUUAUAGGAAAAAAAAAAAAAAAGGAAAAGAAAUAAACAAAACCUACUUUGGGAAAACCGAGCA